GAGGAGCGAUCCGAUACGUGAGGCAUAUCAUCCCUUGGACCGAUAAAUUUUCCAUAGGGAGCUGGCUCUGUUGUAGCCGUGGUUACAUUACCCGGUGCCCACCUGUACUUACAGGUCCCGAGAGGUUGGAAAGACCCACGGUCAGGGUGGCUCCGCU
rnacentral:other from 1 species